rnacentral:rRNA from 1 species
UAGGGAAUCUUCCACAAUGGACGCAAGUCUGAUGGAGCAACGCCGCGUGAGUGAAGAAGGUUUUCGGACCGUAAAGCUCUGUUGUUGGUGAAGAAGGAUAGAGGUAGUAACUGGCCUUUAUUUGACGGUAAUCAACCAGAAAGUCACGGCUAACUACGUGCCAGCAGCCGCGGUAAUACGUAGGUGGCAAGCGUUGUCCGGAUUUAUUGGGCGUAAAGCGAGCGCAGGCGGAAGAAUAAGUCUGAUGUGAAAGCCCUCGGCUUAACCGAGGAAUUGCAUCGGAAACUGUUUUCUUGAGUGCAGAAGAGGAGAGUAGAACUCCAUGUGUAGCGGUGGAAUGCGUAGAUAUAUGGAAGAAUACCAGUGGCGAAGGCGGCUCUCUGGUCUGCAACUGACGCUGAGGCUCGAAAGCAUGGGUAGCGAACAGGAUUAGAUACCCUGGUAGUCCAUGCCGUAAACGAUGAGUGCUAAGUGUUGGGAGGCUUCCGCCUCUCAGUGCUGCAGCUAACGCAUUAAGCACUCCGCCCUGGGGGAGUACGACCGCAAGGUUGAAACUCU